UCCAGAGGGAAGGUCAGCAGUCCAGCUCAGUGCUGCAGUAGAUCAGGAGCAUUCACAGUCAGAAGUGCUGCUGGGAGACUGUGUGUUUGUG